rnacentral:rRNA from 1 species
UACGUAGGGUGCGAGCGUUGUCCGGAAUUACUGGGCGUAAAGAGCUCGUAGGUGGUUUGUCGCGUUGUUCGUGAAAACUCACAGCUUAACUGUGGGCGUGCGGGCGAUACGGGCAGACUGGAGUACUGCAGGGGAGACUGGAAUUCCUGGUGUAGCGGUGGAAUGCGCAGAUAUCAGGAGGAACACCGGUGGCGAAGGCGGCAUCCUGGACCGACACUGACACUGAGGAGCGAAAGCCAGGGGAGCAAACGGG